UACGGAGGGAGCUAGCGUUGUUCGGAAUUACUGGGCGUAAAGCGCACGUAGGCGGCUUUGUAAGUUAGAGGUGAAAGCCUGGAGCUCAACUCCAGAAUUGCCUUUAAGACUGCAUCGCUCGAAUCCAGGAGAGGUGAGUGGAAUUCCGAGUGUAGAGGUGAAAUUCGUAGAUAUUCGGAAGAACACCAGUGGCGAAGGCGGCUCACUGGACUGGUAUUGACGCUGAGGUGCGAAAGCGUGGGGAGCAAACAGG
rnacentral:rRNA from 1 species